CACGGAGUUAGCCGGGGCUUCUUCUGCUGGUACCGUCAUUAUCUUCCCAGCUGAAAGAGCUUUACAACCCUAAGGCCUUCAUCACUCACGCGGCAUGGCUAGAUCAGGGUUGCCCCCAUUGUCUAAGAUUCCUCACUGCUGCCUCCCGUAGGAGUCUGGGCCGUGUCUCAGUCCCAGUGUGGCUGAUCAUCCUCUCAAACCAGCUAUGGAUCGUCGGCUUGGUGGGCCAUUACCCCACCAACUACCUAAUCCAACGCGGGCCGAUCCUUCUCCGAUAAAUCUUUCCCCCAAAGGGCGUAUACGGUAUUACUCCCAGUUUCCCGGGGCUAUUCCGUAGAGAAGGGCACGUUCCCACGCGUUACUCACCCGUCCGCCGCUAGACCCGAAGGUCUCGCUCGACUUGCAUGUGUUAAGCCUGCCGCCAGCGUUCGUUCUGAGCCAGGAUCAAACUCU
rnacentral:rRNA from 1 species